rnacentral:rRNA from 1 species
AACGCGUGGAUAACCUGCCGUAUACAGGGGGAUAAACUAGAAAUAGGUGCUAAUACCGCAUAAGCGCACGGUUCCGCAUGGAACAGUGUGAAAAACUCCGGUGGUAUACGAUGGAUCCGCGUCUGAUUAGCCAGUUGGCGGGGUAACGGCCCACCAAAGCGACGAUCAGUAGCCGGCCUGAGAGGGUGAACGGCCACAUUGGGACUGAGACACGGCCCAAACUCCUACGGGAGGCAGCAGUGGGGAAUAUUGCACAAUGGGGGAAACCCUGAUGCAGCGACGCCGCGUGAGUGAAGAAGUAUUUCGGUACGUAAAGCUCUAUCAGCAGGGAAGAAAAAAAGUCCUUUGGACUUUGGACGGUACCUGACUAAGAAGCCCCGGCUAACUACGUGCCAGCNNCCGCGGUAAUACGUAGGGGGCAAGCGUUAUCCGGAUUUACUGGGUGUAAAGGGAGCGUAGACGGCGUGCCAAGUCUGAUGUGAAAGGCCGGGGCUCAACCCCGGGACUGCAUUGGAAACUGGCAUGCUAGAGUGCCGGAGGGGCAAGCGGAAUUCCUAGUGUAGCGGUGAAAUGCGUAGAUAUUAGGAGGAACACCGGUGGCGAAGGCGGCUUGCUGGACGGUAACUGACGUUGAGGCUCGAAAGCGUGGGGAGCAAACAGGAUUAGA